UUGACCUCGGAUCAGGUAGGACUACCCGCUGAACUUAAGCAUAUCAAUAAGCGGAGGAAAAGAAACCAACAGGGAUUGCCCCAGUAACGGCGAGUGAAGCGGCAACAGCUCAAAUUUGAAAUCUGGCCCCUGGGCCCGAGUUGUAAUUUGGAGAGGAUGCUUUUGGCGCGGCGCCGUCCGAGUUCCUUGGAACAGGACGCCACAGAGGGUGAGAGCCCCGUACGGACGGACGCCUAGCCUCUACAAAGCUCCUUCGACGAGUCGAGUAGUUUGGGAAUG
rnacentral:rRNA from 1 species